UACGGAGGGGGCUAGCGUUGUUCGGAAUUACUGGGCGUAAAGCGCACGUAGGCGGCUUUGCAAGUCAGAGGUGAAAGCCCGGGGCUCAACCCCGGAAUUGCCUUUGAGACUGCAUCGCUAGAAUUGUGGAGAGGUAAGUGGAAUUCCGAGUGUAGAGGUGAAAUUCGUAGAUAUUCGGAAGAACACCAGUGGCGAAGGCGGCCUUCUGGACAGUGACUGACGCUGAGACGCGAAAGCGUGGGGAGCAAACAGG
rnacentral:rRNA from 1 species